rnacentral:rRNA from 2 species
UCUGGUAAUGAUGGCAGAGAGGUCACACCCGUUCCCAUACCGAACACGGAAGUUAAGCUCUCUAGCGCCGAUGGUAGUUGGGACCUUGUCCCUGUGAGAGUAGGACGUUG